rnacentral:lncRNA from 1 species
CUUCGCCAAGCUGAGCGCGCUCUGGGAGCUGCUCCUGUUCCACGCGGAGGAAAUAGAGGAGUGAGGAGGGGUCGGCCGGGUCGCCGGGUUUUGCCAGGCGCGCGUCACCCUGCUCUCCUCCUCCCCCAGGCCCGACCCACCCUGGAUUCGGACCGCUCUGCGGGGCCGCCGCGGCGCCUGCGCCUGAGCAACUCUCUGCAGCAACACGUGGCCAAGCGGCCGCGGGACUUCUGCAGGAGCCCAGACCGCAGCUCCUCGCAAGCCGGGAGAGGCGGGGCGGGGCGGGGCGGGGCCUUCCGCAGAGGGGCGGGGCCUUCCGCAGAGGGGCGGGGCGCUUGGCUCCCUGGUUCCGCGCGGAGGCAACUCCUGCCUGACUCGCUUGAGGUCUUCAGCCAGUCGGUGUCCUAGCGGCUCCCAGUGCCUGAUUCCCACCCGUUCGGUCCCCCUCAGGUGCUCAUCUGGCUGGAACACACCAGCCCAGGCUGAGCUUUGUGGGGAGAUGGGCUCUCUGGCUUUAGCAACUGGCGCAUCUCAACCCUGUGUCCCCAGCCUAGAGACUAGACUCUGCACUCCCAUUGUGUUAGGUCUCGCACUGGGCAGAGGGCUUCUGACCCCUGCUCUGCUCACAGAUUCCUAGACAGGGAUUCCCACGACUCCUACAUCUCCAACACAAAGAGGCAGAGGUGGCAGUCUAUGCCAAGUAGAAACGCACAGAGAUGGCCAUUUCCCGUCUGCUGGCCAGAGGAGUUGACCCUGCAGCCUUCCCACUGCAUGAACUGGAGAUGACCCAAGCUCAGCUCUCUCCCACUGCCGGGGCAUCAGGAGGGAACCCUGCAGCCCUCCCUCCUUUCGUCUGCCUGGGGCCCUUUGACCCGCCCAGGUUGCUGUGCUCCUGCUGGGCUUGCUGGAGAUGCUGGCACAAGAGUACUCUGGGGAGAAGUUGGGCUACUUCUCUGUCUGGGGACUGUGUUCUUCAGCAUCUUUAUGUCCUUGUGGGCCACGGCCUUCCUGGAGCACCGGAAGUGCAAGAGCAUCACCCUUGUCCACCACUGGGACCGCAGUGACUUCCAGGAAGAGGAGCCAAUAGAACUCUGACCAUCUCUACCUUUUGCCCAGAGAUGCACAGAACCCAGACCUUCCACGAAGACCUUCACUUUCAGAGUCUUCUUCUUUGAGUUUGUCGAUUUUCUACUUUUCCUUCUACAUGGCAUUCUUCCAAGGCAGGGGAGGACCCCCUACCCCACCCGGGGCUGUUGCCUCCCAACAAAGUGGGCCGACAGAGUGGCAUCAUCCUUGAACCUCCAGAUUUGUUUCUACCAAGGUCUUGCCGUUGACCUUGAAAUUGGUCCUCGAUUUCCCUGGGCUUCAGUUUCCUCAACUGUAAUGUGCUAACACAUCACUGGGUCAAUAUGAAACUUCAACACCUGCAUUCAUCAUUCACUCAGCCCUCAAGGUGGCCCAGGUCUGACACCCCACUUCUCAGCGCUGCCGUUUGGGUUCAUUGCCAUCUGUGUGGCGGGUUUCCUGCUGGCACCCCUCUUUGCUGUGCUCAACAACUGGGUGGAGAUCCGACUUGGACGCCCGCAAGUUCGCUGUGAGUGUCCACCGCCGGUGGCUAAGCGAGCACAGGACAUUGGAAUCUGCCUGCUUCCGCUUGAGGCUCCGGCCCACCUUCUGGUCAUUAUGAAUGUGAGCAUGGGGCGGAAGAGGGGAAUACAGGGGGGCAGAGGGGGAAAUGGAGAUUAGAGACUGGGAAAGGUGGCUUAGGAAUAGGGAAACGGGUGCUAAAUUCCAGGGUCAGAGAUAGAGAAACAGAGGCAGGGGGCUAGGAUUCUGGGCGCUGGCUCAUCUUGCCCACACAAGUGGGUUUGGGCCCAGCUGGAGGUGAGUUUGGAGAUUGGGCCCUGGAAUCCCUCUGGCCCUGCAGGCUUUCCUCCUCGUCGCCUUCACCUCGGACUUAACGCGUCUCCUGUAGGAGUACGAACACUACAGCCUGCUGCAGGUACAGCUUUGUCCACUUCACACCUGCACCCACACCUCCAGCCUACCUUGCCCAGGAGGACCACUGCCCUGGGAGCCU